AGUGAACGCUGGCGGUAGGCCUAACACAUGCAAGUCGAACGGCAGCACAGUAAGAGCUUGCUCUUACGGGUGGCGAGUGGCGGACGGGUGAGGAAUACAUCGGAAUCUACUUUUUCGUGGGGGAUAACGCAGGGAAACUUACGCUAAUACCGCAUACGACCUACGGGUGAAAGCAGGGGAUCUUCGGACCUUGCGCGAUUGAAUGAGCCGAUGUCGGAUUAGCUAGUUGGCGGGGUAAAGGCCCACCAAGGCGACGAUCCGUAGCUGGUCUAAGAGGAUGAUCAGCCACACUGGAACUGAGACACGGUCCAGACUCCUACGGGAGGCAGCAGUGGGGAAUAUUGGACAAUGGGCGCAAGCCUGAUCCAGCCAUACCGCGUGGGUGAAGAAGGCCUUCGGGUUGUAAAGCCCUUUUGUUGGGAAAGAAAAGCAGCAGGUUAAUACCCCGCUGUUCUGACGGUACCCAAAGAAUAAGCACCGGCUAACUUCGUG
rnacentral:rRNA from 1 species